rnacentral:miRNA from 1 species
AUAUGCAAUGGAACAAAGUAGGUGCUCAGUAAGUGUCUGUGGAGCGUGCAUCGGCAGCUGACCCCGACUGACAAAAAGCAAGCUGCUUGUCACUG